rnacentral:tRNA from 2 species
GGAGGGAUGGCCGAGUGGCUUAAGGCGGCGGUCUUGAAAACCGCUUCCCGUAAAUCCGGGACGUGGGUUCAAAUCCUACUCCCUCCGCCA